rfam:Colletotrichum sublineola strain TX430BB Scaffolds0957.1, whole genome shotgun sequence.
ACAUACGACCAUACCCACUGGAGAACUCGGGAUCCCGUCCGCUCUCCCAUAGAUAAGCCAGUGAGGGCCGGAUUAGUAGUUGGGCCGGUGACGACCAGCAAAUACCUGGUGUUGUAUGUU